CAAGUUCUCACUAAGUUUCUGGCCUCAAAUUUUCGAUCCUCCUACCUUAACCUCCAGAGUUUCUGGGAUCACAGGUGUGAGCGUAAACACAGGCAUGGGGUCUGGGUCUGUUUGGGACCACGCGCCUGGGCUUCUGACCCUGCCUCUGGCCUGUGUUGCCCAGGCAGCUGCCUAGCUUGGAGGGUACCUUAGAUUCCUGUGACUACUAGGACCAACUGCCACAAACUGGGUGACUGAACACAACAGAUAUUUAGUUGGGCGUGGUGGCGCACGCCUGUCAUUCCAUGGCUCAGGAGGCUGAGGCGGGAAGAUCACAAGUUCAAAGCCAGCCUCAGCCACUUACUGUGGCCCUCAGCAACUUAACAAGACCCUGUGUCUAAGUAACAUGCAGAGAAGGCUGCGAUGGGCUCAGUGGUCGAGCCCCCCUGAGAUCAGUCCCAGCAGAUAUUCACUCUUUCCCCUUCCUGGAGGCUGGAAGUCGGAAAUCAAGGAGUCCGUCGGAGCUGUGUCCCCUCCAAAGCUCUCCAGGAUGACCCCUCCUGGUCUGGUCCAGCCUCUGGUGGCUCCUGGCUUCUUGCUCAUGACCACCUCACUGCAGCCUCUGGUGUCUCCUUCGCAUGGCUUUCUGCCCCGUGGGCCUGUGUCCUCUCCUCUGUCUCCUCUGAGGACACUUGUUAUAGGAUUCAGGACCCCUCCCCCAUAAUCCAGGAUGAGCUCAUUUCCAGAUCCCAGCCUCACUAGUCUGCAAAGAUGUUUUUUCCAAAUAAAGUCAACGUGUUCCCAGGUUCCCAGGAUUGGAAUGUGGGUGACAUUUGGGGAGGGAGUCACCAUCCAGCCCACUGCCAGGGUGACUGCUGGGCGGGGCACAGCACCUUGUGUGAGAACCUGCCAUGCGCAUGUGACGGGCAUGUGAUGUGUGAUCUGCAAGCUCUUGGCUCCUUCCCGCAGAGGCCACCACACCACCUGGCACAGAACAGACUCUCGGGCAGGGAUGGCAGAAUGACUGAGCCUGUGCCCACUGCCCCCUGCCUGUGGUGUUGGCGAUUCUUUGUAGCAAGGUCUGGUCCCAUGUCACACUGUGUGAGCAACUUGGGGGGUGUGAACAGACACGAAAAUAUUAGCAGCCAUUUAUGGACCAUGAUGGUCCCAUAAUCCAGAGGAGAAAAACUGAGGCUCAGAGACAGCAGGUGGCCUCUUAACUCGGACCUGCCACCUGGAGAGCUCCUGCUGGCCCUCUCCGGGCCUCUGCCUUGUGAGUGAGCCGGGC
rnacentral:lncRNA from 1 species